UACGUAGGUUGCGAGCGUUAAUCGGAAUUACUGGGCGUAAAGCGUGCGCAGGCGGCUUUGCAAGACAGAUGUGAAAUCCCCGGGCUUAACCUGGGAACUGCAUUUGUGACUGCAUGGCUGGAGUGCGGCAGAGGGGGAUGGAAUUCCGCGUGUAGCAGUGAAAUGCGUAGAUAUGCGGAGGAACACCGAUGGCGAAGGCAAUCCCCUGGGCCUGCACUGACGCUCAUGCACGAAAGCGUGGGGAGCAAACAGG
rnacentral:rRNA from 1 species